rnacentral:misc_RNA from 1 species
UCCGGAUUAGAUACCCUGGUAGUCCACGCUGUACACGAUGGAUGCUAGAUGUUGUGGGUAUUGACCCCUGCAGCGUCGCAGCUAACGCAUUAAGCACCCCGCCUGGGGAGUACGGCCGCAAGGCUAAAACUCAAAGGAAUUGACGGGGGCCCGCACAAGCGGCGGAGCAUGUGGCUUAAUUCGAAGCGACGCGAAGAACCUUACCUGGGCUUGACAUGCGGGGUGAAACCGUAGAGAUACGGCGCUCCUCGGAGCCCGCACAGGUGGUGCAUGGCUGUCGUCAGCUUGUGCCGUGAGGUGUUGCCUUAAGUGGCGCAACGAGCGCAACCCCUGUUCUUAGUUGCCAGCGCGUAAUGGCGGGGACUCUAGGAAGACUGCCGGUGCCAAACCGGAGGAAGGU